rnacentral:rRNA from 1 species
CUUAACACAUGCAAGUCGAGGGGCAGCAUGGUCUUAGCUUGCUAAGGCUGAUGGCGACCGGCGCACGGGUGAGUAACACGUAUCCAACCUGCCGUCUACUCUUGGCCAGCCUUCUGAAAGGAAGAUUAAUCCAGGAUGGGAUCAUGAGUUCACAUGUCCGCAUGAUUAAAGGUAUUUUCCGGUAGACGAUGGGGAUGCGUUCCAUUAGAUAGUAGGCGGGGUAACGGCCCACCUAGUCAACGAUGGAUAGGGGUUCUGAGAGGAAGGUCCCCCACAUUGGAACUGAGACACGGUCCAAACUCCUACGGGAGGCAGCAGUGAGGAAUAUUGGUCAAUGGGCGAUGGCCUGAACCAGCCAAGUAGCGUGAAGGAUGACUGCCCUAUGGGUUGUAAACUUCUUUUAUAAAGGAAUAAAGUCGGGUAUGCAUACCCGUUUGCAUGUACUUUAUGAAUAAGGAUCGGCUAACUCCGUGCCAGCAGCCGCGGUAAUACGGAGGAUCCGAGCGUUAUCCGGAUUUAUUGGGUUUAAAGGGAGCGUAGAUGGAUGUUUAAGUCAGUUGUGAAAGUUUGCGGCUCAACCGUAAAAUUGCAGUUGAUACUGGAUGUCUUGAGUGCAGUUGAGGCAGGCGGAAUUCGUGGUGUAGCGGUGAAAUGCUUAGAUAUCACGAAGAACUCCGAUUGCGAAGGCAGCCUGCUAAGCUGCAACUGACAUUGAGGCUCGAAAGUGUGGGUAUCAAA